rnacentral:snRNA from 1 species
GUGCUCACUCUGGCAGCGCAUCCACUAGAAUUGGGCCAGUACUGGAAGAUUCGCCUGGCCUCUGCUCAAGCAUGAUUUGCAAAUUCAUGAGCUGUCCCCCAGUUUU